GGGUUGUGAGGUUAAGCGACUAAGCGUACACGGUGGAUGCCCUGGCAGUCAGAGGCGAUGAAGGACGUGCUAAUCUGCGAUAAGCGUCGGUAAGGUGAUAUGAACCGUUAUAACCGGCGAUUUCCGAAUGGGGAAACCCAGUGUGAUUCGUCACACUAUCAUUAACUGAAUCCAUAGGUUAAUGAGGCGAACCGGGGAACUGAAACAUCUAAGUACCCCGAGGAAAAGAAAUCAACCGAGAUUCCCCAGUAGCGGCGAGCGAACGGGGAGCAGCCCAGAGCCUGAAUCAGUGUGUGUGUUAGUGGAAGCGUCUGGAAAGGCGCGCGAUACAGGGUGACAGCCCCGUACACAAAAAUGCACAUGCUGUGAGCUCGAUGAGUAGGGCGGGACACGUGGUAUCCUGUCUGAAUAUGGGGGGACCAUCCUCCAAGGCUAAAUACUCCUGACUGACCGAUAGUGAACCAGUACCGUGAGGGAAAGGCGAAAAGAACCCCGGCGAGGGAGUGAAAAAGAACCUGAAACCGUGUACGUACAAGCAGUGGGAGCACGCUUAGGCGUGUGACUGCGUACCUUUUGUAUAAUGGGUCAGCGACUUAUAUUCUGUAGCAAGGUUAACCGAAUAGGGGAGCCGAAGGGAAACCGAGUCUUAACUGGGCGUUAAGUUGCAGGGUAUAGACCCGAAACCCGGUGAUCUAGCCAUGGGCAGGUUGAAGGUUGGGUAACACUAACUGGAGGACCGAACCGACUAAUGUUGAAAAAUUAGCGGAUGACUUGUGGCUGGGGUGAAAGGCCAAUCAAACCGGGAGAUAGCUGGUUCUCCCGAAAGCUAUUUAGGUAGCGCCUCGUGAAUUCAUCUCCGGGGGUAGAGCACUGUUUCGGCAAGGGGGUCAUCCCGACUUACCAACCCGAUGCAAACUGCGAAUACCGGAGAAUGUUAUCACGGGAGACACACGGCGGGUGCUAACGUCCGUCGUGAAGAGGGAAACAACCCAGACCGCCAGCUAAGGUCCCAAAGUCAUGGUUAAGUGGGAAACGAUGUGGGAAGGCCCAGACAGCCAGGAUGUUGGCUUAGAAGCAGCCAUCAUUUAAAGAAAGCGUAAUAGCUCACUGGUCGAGUCGGCCUGCGCGGAAGAUGUAACGGGCUAAACCAUGCACCGAAGCUGCGGCAGCGACGCUGAUGCGUUGUUGGGUAGGGGAGCGUUCUGUAAGCCUGCGAAGGUGUGCUGUGAGGCAUGCUGGAGGUAUCAGAAGUGCGAAUGCUGACAUAAGUAACGAUAAAGCGGGUGAAAAGCCCGCUCGCCGGAAGACCAAGGGUUCCUGUCCAACGUUAAUCGGGGCAGGGUGAGUCGACCCCUAAGGCGAGGCCGAAAGGCGUAGUCGAUGGGAAACAGGUUAAUAUUCCUGUACUUGGUGUUACUGCGAAGGGGGGACGGAGAAGGCUAUGUUGGCCGGGCGACGGUUGUCCCGGUUUAAGCGUGUAGGCUGGUUUUCCAGGCAAAUCCGGAAAAUCAAGGCUGAGGCGUGAUGACGAGGCACUACGGUGCUGAAGCAACAAAUGCCCUGCUUCCAGGAAAAGCCUCUAAGCAUCAGGUAACAUCAAAUCGUACCCCAAACCGACACAGGUGGUCAGGUAGAGAAUACCAAGGCGCUUGAGAGAACUCGGGUGAAGGAACUAGGCAAAAUGGUGCCGUAACUUCGGGAGAAGGCACGCUGAUAUGUAGGUGAAGUCCCUCGCGGAUGGAGCUGAAAUCAGUCGAAGAUACCAGCUGGCUGCAACUGUUUAUUAAAAACACAGCACUGUGCAAACACGAAAGUGGACGUAUACGGUGUGACGCCUGCCCGGUGCCGGAAGGUUAAUUGAUGGGGUUAGCGCAAGCGAAGCUCUUGAUCGAAGCCCCGGUAAACGGCGGCCGUAACUAUAACGGUCCUAAGGUAGCGAAAUUCCUUGUCGGGUAAGUUCCGACCUGCACGAAUGGCGUAAUGAUGGCCAGGCUGUCUCCACCCGAGACUCAGUGAAAUUGAACUCGCUGUGAAGAUGCAGUGUACCCGCGGCAAGACGGAAAGACCCGUGAACCUUUACUAUAGCUUGACACUGAACAUUGAGCCUUGAUGUGUAGGAUAGGUGGGAGGCUUUGAAGUGUGGACGCCAGUCUGCAUGGAGCCGACCUUGAAAUACCACCCUUUAAUGUUUGAUGUUCUAACGUGGACCCGUAAUCCGGGUUGCGGACAGUGUCUGGUGGGUAGUUUGACUGGGGCGGUCUCCUCCUAAAGAGUAACGGAGGAGCACGAAGGUUGGCUAAUCCUGGUCGGACAUCAGGAGGUUAGUGCAAUGGCAUAAGCCAGCUUGACUGCGAGCGUGACGGCGCGAGCAGGUGCGAAAGCAGGUCAUAGUGAUCCGGUGGUUCUGAAUGGAAGGGCCAUCGCUCAACGGAUAAAAGGUACUCCGGGGAUAACAGGCUGAUACCGCCCAAGAGUUCAUAUCGACGGCGGUGUUUGGCACCUCGAUGUCGGCUCAUCACAUCCUGGGGCUGAAGUAGGUCCCAAGGGUAUGGCUGUUCGCCAUUUAAAGUGGUACGCGAGCUGGGUUUAGAACGUCGUGAGACAGUUCGGUCCCUAUCUGCCGUGGGCGCUGGAGAAUUGAGGGGGGCUGCUCCUAGUACGAGAGGACCGGAGUGGACGCAUCACUGGUGUUCGGGUUGUCAUGCCAAUGGCACUGCCCGGUAGCUAAAUGCGGAAGAGAUAAGUGCUGAAAGCAUCUAAGCACGAAACUUGCCCCGAGAUGAGUUCUCCCUGACUCCUUGAGAGUCCUGAAGGAACGUUGAAGACGACGACGUUGAUAGGCCGGGUGUGUAAGCGCAGCGAUGCGUUGAGCUAACCGGUACUAAUGAACCGUGAGGCUUAACCUUACAACGCCGAAGGUGUUU
rnacentral:rRNA from 1 species